UACGUAGGGUGCGAGCGUUAAUCGGAAUUACUGGGCGUAAAGCGUGCGCAGGCGGUUCGUUGUGUCGGCGGUGAAAGCCCCGGGCUUAACCUGGGAAUGGCCGUUGAAACUGGCGAACUGGAGUGUGGCAGAGGGGGGUGGAAUUCCGCGUGUAGCAGUGAAAUGCGUAGAGAUGCGGAGGAACACCGAUGGCGAAGGCAGCCCCCUGGGCUGACACUGACGCUCAGGCACAAAAGCGUGGGGAGCAAACAGG
rnacentral:rRNA from 1 species